UACGGGGGGAGCAAGCGUUGUUCGGAUUUACUGGGCGUAAAGGGCGCGUAGGCGGCCUCUGCAAGUCGACUGUGAAAUCUCCGGGCUUAACCCGGAACGGUCAGCCGAUACUGCAGGGCUAGAGUGCAGAAGGGGCAACUGGAAUUCUCGGUAUAGCGGUGAAAUGCGUAGAUAUCGAGAGGAACACCUGCGGCGAAGGCGGGUUGCUGGGCUGACACUGACGCUGAAGUGCGAAAGCUAGGGGAGCGAACGGG
rnacentral:rRNA from 1 species